GUCAUUUUUUUUAAGUUUAUUUGGGAUAGAAAGCAAUUAUAUUAUUUUCAAUUUUCUUUAGUUUUACAAAUCAAGGUUUGGUAGUCUCAACUUUAUGGGCAUGAGCUAAUUAUUAUACACCCCAGUUCUACCAGCGCUUGUUUGUUACCAUAAAAAAUUCAGUUUUACUUCCAUCUCAUGGAACCUGGAAAACUUGCAAUCUAUCAAAAAAUUGUAUUUAAAGCACAAAAAAAACCACAACAUAUUGUUCAUAUAGCAGUUUUGUAUUUACCAAUUCUGAAAAAACUUAUAAAUCAUUUG
rnacentral:misc_RNA from 1 species